rnacentral:rRNA from 1 species
GAUGAACGCUGGCGGCGUGCCUAAUACAUGCAAGUCGAGCGAACAGACGAGGAGCUUGCUCCUUUGACGUUAGCGGCGGACGGGUGAGUAACACGUAGGUAACCUACCUAUAAGACUGGGAUAACUUCGGGAAACCGGAGCUAAUACCGGAUAAUAUUUCGAACCGCAUGGUUCGAUAGUGAAAGAUGGCUUUGCUAUCACUUAUAGAUGGUCCUGCGCCGUAUUAGCUAGUUGGUAAGGUAACGACUUACCAAGGCAACGAUACGUAGCCGACCUGAGAGGGUGAUCGGCCACACUGGAACUUAGACACGGUCCAGACUCCUACGGGAGGCAGCAGUAGGGAAUCUUCCGCAAUGGGCGAAAGCCUGACGGAGCAACGCCGCGUGAGUGAUGAAGGUCUUCGGAUCGUAAAACUCUGUUAUUAGGGAAGAACAAACGUGUAAGUAACUGUGCACGGCUUGACGGUACCUAAUCAGAAAGCCACGGCUAACUACGUG